UUAAAACACUUCAGCUGUAGUUGCAAACAAAAUAAAUAUAGGCCUAAAAUAUAAAUUUUUGGGGGGUCUCAUCCGUAGACUCUCCGGCCUGUUUCACAUGAUUCUUGCGUAGGUGGUAAAGGAGGUUAGUGGUGUUUGAGCCUGUUGUCUGGCCCGUCCUGUUUCACAUGAUUCUUGCGUAGGUGGUAAAGGAGGUUAGUGGUGUUUGAGCCUGUUGUCUGGCCCGUCCUGUUUCACAUGAUUCUUGCGUAGGUGGUAAAGGAGGUUAGUGGUGUUUGAGCCUGUUGUCUGGCCCGUCCUGUUUCACAUGAUUCUUGCGUAGGUGGUAAAGGAGGUUAGUGGUGUUUGAGCCUGUUGUCUGGCCCGGCCUGUUUCACAUGAUUCUUGCGUAGGUGGUAAAGGAGGUUAGUGGUGUUUGAGCCUGUUGUCUGGCCCGGCCUGUUUCACAUGAUUCUUGCAUAGGUGGUAAAGGAGGUUAGUGGUGUUUGAGCCUGUUGUCUGGCCCGGCCUGUUUCACAUGAUUCUUGCGUAGGUGGUAAAGGAGGUUAGUGGUGUUUGAGCCUGUUGUCUGGCCCGGCCUGUUUCACAUGAUUCUUGCGUAGGUGGUAAAGGAGGUUAGUGGUGUUUGAGCCUGUUGUCUGGCCCGGCCUGUUUCACAUGAUUCUUGCAUAGGUGGUA